AUUGAACGCUGGCGGAAUGCUUUACACAUGCAAGUCGAACGGCAGCACGGACUUCGGUCUGGUGGCGAGUGGCGAACGGGUGAGUAACAUAUCGGAACGUAUCCAAUAAUGGGGGAUAACUAAGCGAAAGGUUGGCUAAUACCGCAUACGCCCUAAGGAGGAAAGAUAUGACCCUUCGGUCCUGGCGUUAAUGGAGCGGCCGAUAUCUGAUUAGCUAGUUGGUGGGGUAAAGGCCCACCAAGGCGACGAUCAGUAGCCGGUCUGAGAGGACGACCAGCCACGCUGGAACUGAGACACGGUCCAGACUCCUACGGGAGGCAGCAGUGGGGAAUGUUGGACAAUGGGCGCAAGCCUGAUCCAGCCAUUCCGCGUGAGUGAAGAAGGCCUUCGGGUUGUAAAGCUCUUUCGCAAGGGAAGAAAACUUAGCCUCUAACAUAGGCUGAGGUUGACGGUACCCUGAUAAGAAGCACCGGCUAACUACGUGCCAGCAGCCGCGGUAA
rnacentral:rRNA from 1 species